UACAGAGGGUGCGAACGUUGCUCGGAAUACUGGGCGUAAAGCGCAUGUAGGCGGAUCCAUAAGUCGGGCGUGAAAUCCCCAGGCUCAACCUGGGAACUGCGCUCGAAACUGUAGGUCUUGAGUGUCGGAGAGGAUGGCGGAAUUCCUGGUGUAGAGGUGAAAUUCGUAGAUAUCAGGAGGAACACCGGUGGCGAAGGCGGCCAUCUGGACGACAACUGACGCUGAGAUGCGAAAGCGUGGGGAGCAAACAGG
rnacentral:rRNA from 1 species